CAUUGAAAGACCGGUUCCCGUACGAUCCCCGAAGUUAAGCAGCGUUGCAUCUAGUCAGUACUUAGAUGGGUGACCGCUUGAUAAUACCAAGUGAUGUAAG